rnacentral:rRNA from 1 species
GGGGAAUAUUGCGCAAUGGGGGAAACCCUGACGCAGCAACGCCGCGUGAGUGAUGAAGGUCUUCGGAUUGUAAAACUCUGUCUUUGGGGACGAAGAAAAUGACGGUACCCAAGGAGGAAGCCACGGCUAACUACGUGCCAGCAGCCGCGGUAAUACGUAGGUGGCAAGCGUUGUCCGGAAUUACUGGGCGUAAAGGGUGCGUAGGCGGUAUGUUAAGUCAGAUGUGAAAUUCCGGAGCUUAACUUCGGAAUUGCAUUUGAAACUGGCAUGCUAGAGUGCAGGAGAGGGAAGCGGAAUUCCUAGUGUAGCGGUGAAAUGCGUAGAUAUUAGGAAGAACACCAGUGGCGAAGGCGGCUUUCUGGACUGUAACUGACGCUGAUGCACGAAAGCGUGGGGAGCAAAC